AGGAUUUUAAGUUAAAUAAACUAUUAACCUUCAAAGUUAAAAUUGCCUAAACAUGUAAAUUCUA
rnacentral:tRNA from 1 species